AAAUUUUUAAUAAAAAUAUAUUAUAUCAUCAUUAACUAAUAUUAUAUUAAAUACUGUUAAGUAAUAUAUUAUUAUUUAAUAGAAUAUUAUUAUCCUUUAGUAUCAGGAAAAUUUAAUUAUAUAAUUAAAUUUUUUCCCGAAAUUAUAUGAUCUAUUUUAUAUUCUAUUAAAUAUUUCAAUAUUUAAAUAAAAUUAUUAAUAGUAAUUAAACGUUAUCGAAUAUAAUAAUAUCUGGUUUUCUAAAAAGAAAUAAUAUUAAUAUAUAAUAUAUAUUAUAACAUAUACAUUUUAUAUUACAUAAUUUUUUAUUAAAUAAAUAUUAAUAGUAUUUAUAUAGUUUAAUAACUAUAAAUUCAACAUUUUCAUAUUAUAUUAUUAGAACAUUUUAAUAAAUAUUUUAAUAAUAAAUUUAUAAUUAGAUAUAUAAAUAAAUUUUCUAAACUUGUCCAUAAAUAAAUGACUGUUUAACAUAAACAUUUCUAUUAGUAAUAAUUAAUAGUAAAAUCUGCUCAAUGAUAAUUUCAAUAGCCGCAAUUUUGUGCUAAGGUAGCAUAAUCAUUUGUUUCUUAAAUAGGGACUAGAAUAAAAGAUUUAACAUUUUAGUUUAUUUUUCUAUUUUAAUCUAUUUAAUUUUCCUUAAAUGUAAUAAGGCAUUUAUUCUAAAAUAAGACGAUAAGACCCUAUUGAACUUUACUUAAGUUAAACUGGGGCAGUUAAUUAAUUAUUAUUUUAAUAUUAUUAUUAAUAUAAUAAUCUAAUACUAUUAAAUUAACCAGUUACCAUAGGGAUAACAGCGUAAUAUUAUUAUAAAGAUCUUAUUCAUAAUAAAGAUUACGACCUCGAUGUUGAAUUAAUAACCUAAUUAGGGCAAGACUUAAAUAAGGAAGGUCUGUUCGACCUAUAAAAAAUUACAUGAUUUGAGUUCAGACCGGUAUAAGCCAGGUCGGUUUCUAUCUAUUAAAAAUAAUUUUUGUAGUACGAAAGGGCCUAAAAAUUUAAUAUAAUU
rnacentral:rRNA from 1 species